rnacentral:rRNA from 1 species
GACCCGCACAAGCGGUGGAGCAUGUGGUUUAAUUCGAUGCAACGCGAAGAACCUUACCUGGUCUUGACAUCCUGCGAACUUUCUAGAGAUAGAUUGGUGCCUUCGGGAACGCAGUGACAGGUGCUGCACGGCUGUCGUCAGCUCGUGUUGUGAAAAUGUUGGGUUAAGUCCCGCAACGAGCGCAACCCCCUAUUGAUAGUUGCCUUUAUGGAACUCUAGAAAGACUGCUGGUUAUAAACCGGAGGAAGGCGGGAUGACGUCAAGUCAGCAUGCCCCUUACACCCUGGGCUACACACGUGCUACAUUGGGCGAGACAAUGAGACGCAAAUCUGUGAAGACUAGCUAAUCUAUAAACUCGUUCUA